rnacentral:rRNA from 1 species
UACAUAUGAGACUAGUGUUAUUCAUAUUAAAUAGGUUUAAAGGGUAGUUAGAUUGUCAAAAUAUCUAAAAUAUAAAAGGUAAUAUUUGACUAGAGUUUUAUAUAAGAAGACAGUACUUUAAGAGUAAAGAUAAAAUUUUGUAAUACUUAAAGGACUGGUAAUGGUAAAAACAGUCUUUUAUGUAAAAACUGACAUUAAAAUACGAAGGCUAAGGUAACGAAUAGG